rnacentral:rRNA from 1 species
CAGUCGCCGCUGGAAUACGUAGGGUGCAAGCGUUAAUCGGAAUUACUGGGCGUAAAGCGUGCGCAGGCGGUUUUGUAAGACAGAGGUGAAAUCCCCGGGCUCAACCUGGGAACUGCCUUUGUGACUGCAAGGCUAGAGUACGGCAGAGGGGGAUGGAAUUCCGCGUGUAGCAGUGAAAUGCGUAGAUAUGCGGAGGAACACCGAUGGCGAAGGCAAUCCCCUGGGCCUGUACUGACGCUCAUGCACGAAAGCGUGGGGAGCAAACAGGAUUAGAUACCCCCGUAGUCCCUGUCUCUUAUAC